GGUAUAUCACUGAGAAGCAAGUCUCUUAUGAUCAGACAGUUGCCUAAAUUUCCUUGCCAGUUAUUUGAAUGUUACAUCAUCUAAUCGUUUAGCAGUGCAAAGUCAUCAUUAACUGAGAAGCAACUGAUGGUGAGACAAGACCUGUAGGAAGAGGAACAGCUACACAUAAUAGAGAAGUAACUGAUGGUGAUACUAGAGCUGUAAGAAGAGGAACAGCUACACGUAAUAGAGAAGCAACUGAUGGUGAUACUAGAGCUGUAAGAAGAGAAACAGCUACACGUAAUAAUGCAGAGAUAGCCGUUACAGUUGAUGGUACAUUAAAGGUCUUCCAGUCCAUUCUCAUUGACUUAAUUGCAGACUUCUUACUAGCUCUUGUUGUUCACAGAGACUCGUGGCAGAUAUAUGAUGCUAUUGUAAUUCAUCCUUGUGAGCCAGGAGUAACUGAAUGGAUCAAUGUCUACAACCUAAAACGGUGCGUCUUGUAGUGACAGACCAGUUCCUGAUCUUUGUUGGACGGGACAGGGUCACCACUCCCUUGUAUAUCUGGAUUUGUGUAUUUUAAUGGGAUUAAUGGAUAUAUACCGUGCGUCUUGUAGUGACGAACCAGUUCCUGAUCUUUGUUGGACGGGACAGGGUCACCACUCCCUUGUAUAUCAGGAUUUGUGUAUUUUAAAGUCAUUUAUUGAUAUUUACAGUGCGUCUUGUUGUCACGGAUGCUUGUGUUAAAGUU